UUUUCCUGACAGUGAGCUAGGGGACUGCACCACUCAGCACUGCCAAUGAGAGAGUGCAGCAGCCAAAAGGAGUGCAGCCCCCUAAGCUGGCCCCACUUGAAUUUAUUUAGUACAGAUUUAAUGACAAGGGCUUGGAGCAAACACAAUUUGUGGGUAAUUAACAUUGUCAACCCCUGCAAGUAGAGAGCAGUCCUGCACAUGAAUGAUCAAAGGUUGGUUUCCAGAGAUAUAAGUAGAACAAUUUAUCUAGAUAAGUUUCUUUACAUUCCCUUGUUAUCUAACCCUUGCUCUUAAGAGAAUUUAACUGCCUUCAGCUAAAUUCUCCUUUGAAGCUUUUGCAAAACCUCCCAUUCUUCCAAGAAGAUUUGUGUCUUUCCCUAUAACCUUUUCUUACAACUUUUCCCACCACCCUGACCAAACUCCUACAGUUUUAGAUUUAAGGUCAGUCAUUUGCUGGCUCUGGGGCUGUGGAAGAAAAACUAAAUCCCUCAGUUCAUGCACACAGUGUGACAGCUUGGCAUAAGUAAAAGACAUGAACAAAAGGAUUAAUGAAGGAGUGAAAGAAGGAAGGAGUGUGCAUUAGGCACAACAUCAUCUAAAAACUAAAAAAACUGGAAUGCAUUAAACUUGUUCACUCAACAAGUAUUGGUUGAGUGCCUACUAAGUGUCAAGUGCUGGGACCAAUGUGGGGGAUACAGUGGAGGAUACAGUGGCAACACAUGGAAAGUAAAGGCAGUGAAAAGGCCAUGGAUUUAAAAAUUAAAGGAAAAAAAGGAGUAAUACAUUUGUUAUUGGUCUUAGCAAAUCGAAAAAAUGUGAGAAAAUAGUGCAGCGUUUGCCAAAUCUACAACUCUUUCACCCUCACUGAGUCUCAAAUUAAGAAUGCACAAAAGCAGAAUUACUAGGAAAUCAAAGUUUUAUGGGUGUAUUCCCUGAAGUAAUAGCACUAUACUGCAAAAUUGGUGGAGGUCGUCUGCACAUUUGAAAUAACCAACCUGCACCUUUACCCCCUCCCCCAGAUUCUAACCAAAUAAAGUAUGAAAUAAGGCAGAACUCACCAUGCUACACCAACUUACCAGGAAUGAAGUUGAUGCUGAUUGGAAAAGUGUCAAGCAAUAAAGAAGAGUUUGGAUUUAUCUUUAACAUUGUCUUCAUGUCACUCAAGACUUUAAUCUCAGCCAAAUCUACUUCCAAAACCAAUCUCUUGUGCAAUGAUCUUGUCUGGGUCCAGGCCAAGGCUUACUUCUAUUGCAUAGCCACUCUCACCCUUCUUGAUUUUUACUCUGAAGAACUUUCCUGUCUGGGUUAGAGUUUCCUCUGUUUUUCACAAAAUCUGAGGAGCUGAUACGGAAAGCACACCAGAUCUCAUGUGUUGAAAUGUGAACAUGCUCACCACAGACCAAG
rnacentral:lncRNA from 1 species